AGGCUCACUUGGCAGCGUUUUAGAUUAGCUGAAGCAUCUUCGAUAAAUUGGCUGUCUUCGGCUGUCAGUUUAUUAGCAGCUUAUCAGCUUAGUUGUCAAGAUGGGUGGCUGUUGGUCAUGUGUGGCCUGCAGGGAUGAAGAUGAAGAGGGGGCACUGACAGGUCAUCCCAGAAACCCAACCCAUGUUGCACCAUUUUCUGGGGGACUCCCCAAUGUUUUGGGGGACACUCUGGGGAAAGAGCUCACUGAGGAACCCUUCGUGCCAGAACCUCUUCCAGCACCUUGCAUCACCAACAACAUCCUGGGGGAAGAGCUCACUGAGGAACCCUCCAUGCCAGAACCCCUUCCAGCACCUCGCAUGACCAAUAACAUCCUGGGGGAAGAGCUCACUGAGGAACCGUCCAUGCCAGAACUACUUCCAGUACCUCACAUCACCAACGACAUCCUGGGGGAAGAGCUCACUGAGGAACCCUCCAUGCCAGAACAACUUCCAGCACCUCGUAUCACCAACGAAAUCCUGGAGGAAGAGCUCACUGAGGAACCCUCCAUGCCAGAACCCCUUCCAGCACCUCACAUCACCAAGGACAUCCUGGGGGAAGCGCUCAUUGAGGAACCCUCCAUGCCAGAACCCCUUCCAGCAACUCACAUCACCAAGGACAUCCUGGGGGAAGCACUCAUUGGGGAACCCUCCAUGCCAGAACCCCUUCCAGCACCUUGCAUCACCAACAUCCUGGGGGAAGAGCUCACUGAGAAACCCUCCAUGCCAGAACCACUUCCAGCACCUCGUAUCACCAACGACAUCCUGGGGGAAGAGCUCACUGAGGACCCCUCCAUGACAGAACCCCUUCCAGCACCUUGUAUCACCAACGACAUCCUGGGGGAAGAGCUCACUGAGGAACCCUCCAUGACAGAACCCCUUCCAGCACCUCGCAUCACCAACAACAUCCUCGGCGAAGUGCUCAUUGAGGAACCCUCCGUGCCAGAACCCCUUCCAGCACCUCACAUCACCACCAACAUCCUGGAGGAAGAGCUCACUGAGGAACCCUCCGUGCCAGAACCUCUUCCAGCACAUGGCAUGACCAAUGACAUCCUGGAGGAAGAGCUCACUGAGGAACCCUCCAUGCCAGAACCUCUUCCAGCACCUCGCAUCACCAAUGACAUCCUGGAGGAAGAGCUCAUUGAGGAAACCUCAAUGCCAGAACCCCUUCCAACACCUUGCAUCACCAAUGACCUACUGGGGAAAGUGCUCAUUGAGGAUACCUCAGUGCCAGGUCCUUCCAUCCUCACAGACACUCCAAAGGAAGCAGCUUCUGUGUCAGAGCUUACUAGAGCCUUCCAUUGCUGAUAAUUAUCUUCAGCAAGAAGUAGAACUCCUCAAAGGGUUACAGCAUGACUAUGUCCAGCAGCAACUGAGGGUUCGCCGCAUUUCCCAACAGUUCCCUCGUUCUCUCCUGGCCAUCAACCUGCAAAUUGGACACAUGCGGACAAGGCUCAUCCACAGUGAAGUUCGGCUGCAGCGGUGGCAAAGGGAAGGUAUGUUCACAGCAUGCCCCUGAAAUUGCUGCUGGGCUAAGAACGGCUCUUUUGCUCUGUUUCUUUCAUGAUGAAAUGCUUGAUUUGAGUCUGCAUCUAAGGUUUCAGAGGGGAGGCCUGUGAGUGGGUUGUCAGUGCUGGCUGAAGUGUUCCUUCGUUUUCUGUCUUUCAGGUGUCCAAGCUCCAGUGCCUGUAAUCCAAGCAGCUUCUCAGAGUGAGCAGUGAGGGCAAGUGAUGGUGGGUGUGGUAGGAUGUCAGCCUUUGCAGCUGACCUCCUGCUUCUUCUUCUCUCUUGCAGAUGUUCCUGCAGGCCCUGCUGUACUUCUCCAGCCCUCUGGGUCUGAUUCAUCAUUGUCCUCUGCCUUCCUGGAGGUUGCCUCCAUCCCACCCUCUACAUCCAUCUCUUCCCUCCUCCUGCAUCCCUCUCCACCUCCUCCUCCUUCCCCACCUCCUCUGGAGCCGGACCUCAGCAAUGUGAAAGAAACUCUGCAGAGUUUGGUAGAGAUGCAGGUCCAUCAGCUGCGUGACCGCCAAAGAGACAUCCGCAGCUGCCAGGAAUGCUUACAAAGCUUCAAGGCACUGAGGGGACAAUUGAGGCAGCUAAGGAUCCGACUGGCCAGGGUGGAAGCCACUAUGGGGAUCGUGGUUCCUCCAAGGGAGCUGGACAUUGCUGAGGAAGAAGGGGAAGGCAAAUUAAAAGAGAAAACUGUGCUACUAUUUACAUAAGUAGCAAUAAAAUGCUGUGUAUAUAUUUUUAAAAUAUUAAAUAUUUGUUUUAAUAGGAUGUAGAGAUAGAACAGCAAUAAAACUUGCAUAUUUAUUGUUUAAAUUGUCUUGCUUUGAAUAUUCUUUGGGUAAAGCUGGCCGUAAUCUAUAAGAAUAUGUCAAAUAAAUGUUGGAAAUGUAAGAAAGAAGAGGGUUCCUAUAUACAUAUAUGGUGGACAUGCAAUAAAUUGAGAGGUUAUUGGGACUUAAUAUAUAACGAGCUUAAAAAUAUAUUCAAAAUGACUUUUCCCAAGAGUCCAGAAUCAAUACUAUUAGGUAUUGAUAACAAUGCUCUCCCGAGGAAAUAUUGGACCCUCUUCAUGUACUUAACAGCGGCAGCAAGACUGACAUUUGCGCGCAAAUGGAAAGACAGUCAAUGCCCGUCUAAAGAGGAUUGGAUUCUUAAAGUACUAGAAUUGGCAGAAAUGGCGAAAUUAACAUCACUACUAAGAAAUAAAUUUGAAGAAUUUAAAAAAGAAUGGGACCCUCUUCUUGUCUAUUUAAAAAUACAUCACAAAGUGGAUUUUUGUCAGGCUUUUGAGGGCUAACUACAAAUGUUUCAAAAACACCCCAAAGUUAUUUUCUAUAUGAAUUACUGGGGAGAGAAUGUUUAAUCUAUAGGCAAGAUCCGGUCAUUGUUAACAACACUUGUUCCAAUGAUGAGAUUGAAGUCUUUAUUGUGUGUGUUUGUGAGUGUUUGUAUCAUUUGUGUUUGUCCUUCUGUGUUGUGAAAAUUGAAUAAAAAGU